UACGAAGGGGGCUAGCGUUGCUCGGAAUUACUGGGCGCAAAGCGCACGUAGGCGGCUUGUUAAGUCGGGGGUGAAAUCCUGGAGCUCAACUCCAGAACUGCCUUCGAUACUGGCGAGCUCGAGUUCGGGAGAGGUGAGCGGAACUGCGAGUGUAGAGGUGAAAUUCGUAGAUAUUCGCAAGAACACCAGUGGCGAAGGCGGCUCACUGGCCCGGUACUGACGCUGAGGUGCGAAAGCGUGGGGAGCAAACAGG
rnacentral:rRNA from 1 species